UACGUAGGGGGCUAGCGUUGUCCGGAAUCAUUGGGCGUAAAGCGCGCGUAGGCGGCCCGGUAAGUCCGUUGUGAAAGUCAAAGGCUCAACCUUUGAAAGCCGAUGGAUACUGCCGGGCUAGAGUCCGGAAGAGGCGAGUGGAAUUCCUGGUGUAGCGGUGGAAUGCGUAGAGAUCGGGAAGAAUACCAGUGGCGAAGGCGUUCUGCUGGGCCGUUGCUGACACUGAGGCGCGACAGCGUGGGGAGCAAACAGG
rnacentral:rRNA from 1 species